rnacentral:lncRNA from 1 species
UAGGAUAUACAUGACAUAACUAGGGUCGGGACAAACCCCCGCCCACACGUGACUCAUGUACAAUAACAAAACAUAAGGAACCGACUCGGAAAGCUCCGAAGCAAACUGGAGCUCACCAACAAUAGCUGUAUGACCUGGCUCCUACUUGUGCGGUGUAUGAGCUGAGGUACCUGUGCCUGCAGCAUGAAAUGCAGGUCCCCCGUGAGGGACGUCAGUACGAAAUAUGUACUGAGUAUGUAAAGCUGUAAAUAAUCACAUAUGAUAUAGGAGCUCAAUAGAAAUCAGAAACAAGUGAAUAAGUCGUAAUAGGAGUGGACCACACUUACUAGAACUUGUGACAACCUGUACAUUGUAUUUAUUCAAUCACUUUACCUUCGUUCUUAUCGUCUUUGUAAUCAUUACUGUACUGUACUGUGACCAUUAGGCUGCCUCCAGUACAUAUCAACUGGGAUCGACCCAUGCUAGGCUUAUGCCCCUGGGAUACCACCCAUAAACACAUAAAUAGGGAUCGACCCAUGCUAGGCUUAUGCCCCUGGGAUACCACCCGAUAAGAGAGAACUCCCAUCACUUAGUUCAAUUAAUCUUUGAGAUUGUUAUUUCGGUCGCCACCACAUUUUUGAUACUUUGAAACAAUGAUACAUCAAUAGGAACCAAGUAAUAGACCUUCUAUACAAUAACGAUGUAAUAAAGACUCAUUGGUACAUCAACAAUGUGUUUCAGAAUCAUCAAUAUCACAACAAUGAAAUAAGAGCCUUUUGGUAUAUCAAUGAACAUUUUGACACUUUAUAGGAUGGAAACAACUUCGUUGGUAACGUAGAACAAUACAUGUUUUUGGACAACCUCGGAAUCUUACUUGAUGGAACAUUGGUGUUUUCAUGCCAAAGAACAUUGUUAGAGUAUGCUUUACAUACCUCGUUGUAGAUUCAGAUACCAAUUCAACACAACUUCCCGCCUUUACAAAUCACUUAUCUACAAUGAAAUGUUUGGCAUCUAGUAUUAGCAACCCAACACCACAAUUCUCUUCCAUAAUUCCAUACUACCAAUAUUUGCAAAACAUUCCAAAAACCAACUUGAACAAUAGGUUUAUGUGUGUAUAUAUAUAUAAUCAUCAUUUCAAUACCACAUCAUCAAUACCACAUCAUCACCCCAAAUUCCUUCACAAUUUAACAUAAUCCAACCAUGCACAAGAAUAAUCCAACAUCAUUUCCAAUCAUCUUUCAACAACAAUCAAGUAACAUACUUCUUAUGCUCACAUGCAUAUAUAUAUAUAUACAUAUCCAUAUAAAUAACACCAACAUAAUUUACAUCCUUACCAAAAAAUGGCCCUUUUGAUUUCGAAGUCCUGUUGGCACAAAUAAGGGGUGCUUCUCGAAGCCCUUGAGACGGUGAACACAACUACGGAAUCAAUUUGGAUUUUCUACGGUUGAAUCACAAGAUAAUUGGAGUUGAAAUUUGGCUAGGGUUUCUUAGUCUUCAA